AUAUGGGAAUGAUGUUCUCCCCUGGGAAACCUAAACCGCUUAUUCAAGCUGAUGACUUCUGCGUU
rnacentral:ncRNA from 2 species